UACAAAUUCAUUACAAGGAUCGUCCACGUGCUUGUUUA
rnacentral:sRNA from 1 species